UGCCUACCAUGCAGUCGAACGGUAGCACAGAGAGCUUGCUCCGGUGACGAGUGGCGGACGGGUGAGUAAUGUCUGGGAAACUGCCUGAUGGAGGGGGAUAACUCGGAAACGGUAGCUAAUACCGCAUAACGUCGCAAGACCAAAGAGGGGGACCUUCGGGCCUCUUGCCAUCAGAUGUGCCCAGAUGGGAUUAGCUAGUAGGUGGGGUAACGGCUCACCUAGGCGACGAUCCCUAGCUGGUCUGAGAGGAUGACCAGCCACACUGGAACUGAGACACGGUCCAGACUCCUACGGGAGGCAGCAGUGGGGAAUAUUGCACAAUGGGCGCAAGCCUGAUGCAGCCAUGCCGCGUGUAUGAAGAAGGCCUUCGGGUUGUAAAGUACUUUCAGCGGGGAGGAAGGUAGGUUAAUAACCUURUAUUGACGUUACCCGCAGAAGAAGCACCGGCUAACUCCGUGCCAGCAGCCGCGGUAAUACGGAGGGUGCAAGCGUUAAUCGGAAUUACUGGGCGUAAAGCGCACGCAGGCGGUCUGUCAAGUCGGAUGUGAAAUCCCCGGGCUCAACCUGGGAACUGCAUUCGAAACUGGCAGGCUGGAGUCUUGUAGAGGGGGGUAGAAUUCCAGGUGUAGCGGUGAAAUGCGUAGAGAUCUGGAGGAAUACCGGUGGCGAAAGCGGCCCCCUGGACAAAGACUGACGCUCAGGUGCGAAAGCGUGGGAGCAACAGGAUUAGAUACCCCUGGGUAGUUCCCCACGGCCCU
rnacentral:rRNA from 1 species